rnacentral:rRNA from 1 species
UACGAAGGGGGCUAGCGUUGCUCGGAAUCACUGGGCGUAAAGCGCACGUAGGCGGCUUGUUAAGUCAGGGGUGAAAUCCUGGAGCUCAACUCCAGAACUGCCUUUGAUACUGGCGAGCUUGAGUUCGGGAGAGGUGAGUGGAACUGCGAGUGUAGAGGUGAAAUUCGUAGAUAUUCGCAAGAACACCAGUGGCGAAGGCGGCUCACUGGCCCGUAACUGACGCUGAGGCACGAAAGCGUGGGGAGCAAACAGG